AAAAUACUUAUGGGGUGCUCUCGUUCAGCAAUUUUUUAGCUGAAACGAUAGAGGCUGAGAAUAUACCCAAUCUUGCGGUAACGUAAGAGGAACCUGAUCCAGGUAAUGCUGGCGUAGGGAUAAAUUUUCUUUUUUUA
rnacentral:ncRNA from 1 species